AGAGUUUGAUCCUGGCUCAGAUUGAACGCUGGCGGCAUGCCUUACACAUGCAAGUCGGACGGCAGCGCGGGAGCAAUCCUGGCGGCGAGUGGCGAACGGGUGAGUAAUACAUCGGAACAUGUCCAGUAGUGGGGGAUAGCCCGGCGAAAGCCGGAUUAAUACCGCAUACGAUCUAUGGAUGAAAGCGGGGGAUCGCAAGACCUCGCGCUAUUGGGGUGGCCGAUGGCGGAUUAGCUAGUUGGUGGGGUAAAGGCCUACCAAGGCGACGAUCCGUAGCUGGUCUGAGAGGACGACCAGCCACACUGGGACUGAGACACGGCCCAGACUCCUACGGGAGGCAGCAGUGGGGAAUUUUGGACAAUGGGGGCAACCCUGAUCCAGCAAUGCCGCGUGUGUGAAGAAGGCCUUCGGGUUGUAAAGCACUUUUGUCCGGGAAGAAAUCCCCUGCCCUAAUACGGCGGGGGGAUGACGGUACCGGAAGAAUAAGCACCGGCUAACUACGUGCCAGCAGCCGCGGUAAA
rnacentral:rRNA from 1 species